rnacentral:rRNA from 1 species
UGCGCAGGUGGGCUUGUAAGUCAGUGGUGAAAUCUUGCCGCUUAACGGUAAAAUUGCCAUUGAUACUGCAAGUCUUGAGUAUGGUUGAGGUAGGUGGAAUGUGUUGUGUAGCGGUGAAAUGCAUAGAUAUGACACAGAACGCCGAUUGCGAAGGCAACUUACUAAGCCAUUACUGACGCUGAGGCACGAAAGCGUGGGGAGCGAACAGGAUUAGAUACCCUGGUAGUCC